rnacentral:rRNA from 1 species
CCUACGGGUGGCAGCAGUGAGGAAUUUUGCGCAAUGGGGGUAACCCUGACGCAGCAACGCCGCGUGAGUGAAGAAGGCCUUCGGGUCGUAAAGCUCUGUCAAGUGGGAAGAACCCGCAUCAGGUCACCAGGCUGAUGCGCUGACGGUACCACUGAAGGAGGCCCCGGCUAACUCCGUGCCAGCAGCCGCGGUAAUCCGGAGGGUGCAAGCGUUAUUCGGAAUCACUGGGCGGAAAGGGCGCGCAGGCGGCUGGGCAAGUCAGUAGUGAAAGCCCGGGGCUCAACCCCGGAAGUGCUGCUGAAACUGUCUGGCUUGAGUAUGGUAGAGGGAGGCGGAAUUCCUGGUGUAGCGGUGAAAUGCGUAGAUAUCAGGAGGAACACCGGUGGCGAAGGCGGCUUCCUGGACAAAUACUGACGCUGAGGCGCGAAGGCGUGGGUAGCAAACAGGAUUAGAUACCCUUGUAGUC